GUGAUGAUAGAGCUGACAUCUGAAUCAGGACCAGCCCCUUCCUGAGCUGACUUUUAAAGCCUGGGCACUGGGUCGUUCUGUUAUGAAGAGUUAGAUAAUGACAUUGUUCAUGCAAAGUGUAGUGAGGGGCUCAGAACAAAUAGCUACUGACCCGAAUGUGGCAUCUUGCACCAGAGCGAUAAGGUUCAACCAGCACAGAUUGCUGCUGCCCUCUCUGUGAAUAGCGGGGAUUAGCAAGAACCUGCUGUCUGUUGUGGCUAACGGGCUACUGGGCACAUUACUAGUGAUGUCUGGGACUCCAUCUGACAAAGAAUUCCUUCCCUGUGUUUCAAUCUGGAAAGAAAUGUCAGUUGCUGUUGGGAAUAUCAGAGCCUGUUCUCUAGCCAGUGUAGUUUUGCUGUUAUGUAAAGGCUACUCAACGAUUCCAAUGAUGGGCACUCUAUGGAGGCCUGUAAUAGAAACAGCACACAAAAGGAGAUACUACAUUCACAUACUUUUGAGCCCACGGGUUUGUCUAUACUGGAGAUAGCUCCUUUUGCUGUGAGUGUCUUGGUGAGGUUAAAGACCCGCUCUUCCUGCCCGUGUCUGUAUAGCUGUAGCUAAUCGAGGGCUUUUAUCAGCAUGACUAUGUCAGCAAAAGAGCCAGCUCUUAACUCACAGAAUUGCACUGGUAAGGCUCCUGAAGUGGAGGCCAGCGUGUACAGAUCCUGCAGACGGAAGGAAGCAAGAGAAUUGCUCCUUUCAUCAUGAUAGCGUUUUAUCUCGGGGGCCUCGCACUGGCAUUCUGAGUGUCGUUAACCUCUGCUAUUUUAGGCUUGGUGUGUAGGAGCACAUCACCACUGAAUCAGGCGUUCAGAUACCUCUCUCCUGAGAAUACAGUUCAGAAAGCUGGCUGCAAAGCCUGUGAAAGGAAGAGGGUUCACGUCUCCCUAAGCAUAGGACCUGAUCAGCAGCAAUUCCUCUCAAGCAUCAGCAAGAUACUAACCAGAAGAGAAUCAGCCUAGGAAGCAAAUGGUUGUUUGCCUGUUAGAUAAGGUGAAGGAGAUUGCCAAGAGGUCCAACGAGCCAAAGAGCUGGCAACAAGGAUGUCAAUGGGAGUGUGUGGCGUGUGACUGGGAGCAGACUGGGGCAGCUCCUUCUGACAGCAGCCAUUGCAUGAAAACUCAUUCUCAAUUUAACCCAAAGCAGGAGAAAAAAAA